AUUGAACGCUGGCGGCAUGCCUUACACAUGCAAGUCGAACGGCAGCACGGGAGCAAUCCUGGUGGCGAGUGGCGAACGGGUGAGUAAAGUAUCGGAACGUGCCCAGUCGUGGAGGAUAACGUAGCGAAAGUUACGCUAAUACCGCAUACGAUCUAUGGAUGAAAGCGGGGGAUCGCAAGACCUCGCGCGAUUGGAGCGGCCGAUAUCAGAUGAGGUAGUUGGUGGGGUAAAGGCUCACCAAGCCGACGAUCUGUAGCUGGUCUGAGAGGACGACCAGCCAGAAUGGGAAUGAGACACGGCCCAGACUCCUACGGGAGGCAGCAGUGGGGAAUUGUGGACAAUGGGCGAAAGCCGGAUCCAGCCAUGCCGCGUGCAGGAUGAAGGCCUUCGGGUUGUAAACUGCUUUUGUACGGAACGAAAAGGUUUGGCCUAAUAAGCUGAGCUCAUGACGGUACCGUAAGAAUAAGCACCGGCUAACUACGUGCCAGCCGCCGCAGUAA
rnacentral:rRNA from 1 species